rnacentral:rRNA from 1 species
CACCAGCGCCACUAGUGGGGGCCACGAUUAUUGGGCCUAAAGCGUUCGUAGCCGGUUUGAAAAAUUUUCUGUGAAAUCGUCUAGCUUAACUAUACGACGUGCAGAAAACACUAUCAAACUAGAGAUCGGGAGGAGCUAGGGGUAUUCUCGGGGGAGCGGUAAAAUGUUUUAAUCCCUUGAAGACCACCUGUGGCGAAGGCGCCUAGCUAGAACGAAUCUGACGGUGAGGGACGAAAGCCAGGGGAGCGAUCCG